rnacentral:rRNA from 1 species
CAGCCGCCGCGGUAAUACGGAGGGUGCAAGCGUUAUCCGGAUUUAUUGGGUUAAAGGGUCCGUAGGCGGACUUAUAAGUCAGUGGUGAAAGCCUGUCGCUUAACGAUAGAACUGCCAUUGAUACUGUAAGUCUUGAGUAUAUUUGAGGUAGCUGGAAUAAGUAGUGUAGCGGUGAAAUGCAUAGAUAUUACUUAGAACACCAAUUGCGAAGGCAGGUUACCAAGAUAUAACUGACGCUGAGGGACGAAAGCGUGGGUAGCGAACAGGAUUAGAUACCCCAGUAGUCCCUGUCUCUUAUACA